CUGCAAACAAGGGUCCAGGGUCCACGCAGGUUAAGGACAGCACACAGCUCUAAGCAUACAGUGCAAAAGCCAGCUCCAAAGAUUAAAGAACUUGUUAGCCUUUCCUUCUCUAGACUGCCAGAGUGAGAUGAAUUUAAAUUCAUUAAGUGAAUUUCCCAGAUCAGCAAAGGACAAAGCACACUCCUCCAGCUCUGCUGUAAAUGGAGAGAAGCACAGCUCCCACUCAGUGCCGCCUCAGGCAGACCCCACCACCACACCUAUGGGAUUAUGCACACGCAAUGGCCCAGGUGGCAAACAUACAUAUCACCAUACUGAAGAUGACAUCAGGCCGCUUCUGUCCCUCCUGUGAGUAACAGUGUCCAGGGUCUAUCUGAAUAUUGUCGAACAUAUGACCUGGCAAGUACCUCCUCAGAGACAAUGAUGCUCUAGAAGAGGUCUGCCCCCAGGAGGGUUUGGCCUUACUGCCUGGAUCACAGAUUCUCCAAAGGUUUCAGAAACACGCAUCAGAAAUGCUCUUGCUGCAGCCCUCCAAAAACAUCCGUAUGAGGCUGAUGGCCCUCCCCAAGGUCCUCCACCUCCUGGUCAGAGCUGCUGUCCCUAUAGCCAUUCCUCCUUACGCCCUGCAGCACUGCCACUGCUCGCUUUCUGUUGCCCCCAUAACAAACGAACUGCAGUGUGGAGAGACAAGCUUCCCAUUCUCCAAACCAUCAUGGCACCAUGUCCUAGCUAGCAGCACAACUGCACUAUCUUCAAAUACUCUGAAGAUGCCGCAAACAAGCACGCCCUAAAACAUCCUACUGGUACACAAAAAGAGACAGAGGGUAGUCUCUCCUCUGGGAAGACACAGGUUGGCUGUCCCAAUGGAGUGGCACUGAGAUGGGAAAUGCCUUGGGGAAGUCUAUCUGAACACUGCUGGUAAUUCGACAGAUGGCUCCAGUUGAGGGAAGACAUCAUUUAGGCAACAGGGAUGGGACCAGUUCACAAGUCUCCUGCCCUCUUAUCUCAUGUUCCACCACUGCAUGAUCCUGGCACACUGUCACAAUCUCCUAGAAGAACUCCCUACUACUUUCUAUCACUUCCACCCUCCCAAGUUUUUUAACUGCUCUUUUGGUUGCAUCAGCACAAAUACUUGCAUGAGCACUCUUCAGGCCAGCUAAAUACAUGACAAUGCUUUUGCUUUUUUAGACAGUUUUUUGUAACGUCCAGAGCAUUAAUCCAAGGAGGGCUACAAAACGGCUGAGCUGAAGAAGCAAUCAUCUGUAGGGGAUGGGACAGACAGCAUUUGAAGACUUCUUAAAUGUGGCUGGCUGCCAACAGAACAACAGUUUCAGUUUCACAUGAAGGUCAAGAUUUGGUGCCUUUGGAAGACAGGCUUCAGCCAAAUACCUCAAGAGACGUGCUGGAAACUAGCAAUCCUUUCUCCUGUACAUGCCUAUUAAAAGCUUAUGCCUCUUCCCAAGUA